rnacentral:tRNA from 2 species
UCCCCGAUAGCUCAGCGGUAGAGCAUUCGACUGUUAAUCGAAUGGCCGCAGGUUCGAAUCCUGCUCGGGGAGCCA